rnacentral:rRNA from 1 species
UACGUAGGGGCCUAGCGUUGUCCGGAAUUAUUGGGCGUAAAGAGCUCGUAGGCGGUUCGGCAAGUCGGAUGUGAAAUCUCCACGCUUAACGUGGAGGGGCCAUUCGAAACUGCUGUGACUCGAGUCCGGUAGGGGAGUGUGGAAUUCCCGGUGUAGCGGUGAAAUGCGCAGAUAUCGGGAGGAACACCAGUAGCGAAGGCGGCGCUCUGGGCCGGUACUGACGCUGAGGAGCGAAAGCGUGGGGAGCGAACAGG